rnacentral:rRNA from 1 species
AGGAAGUAAAAGUCGUAACAAGGUUUCCGUAGGUGAACCUGCGGAAGGAUCAUUAAAGAAUGCCCCGUUUUUUGAAAUGGGUUCUAUUCCCAAACCGUGUAUAUAUACCUUUGUUGCUUUGGCAGGCCGCCUUCGGGCGUCGGCUCACGCUGACCGCGCCUGCCAGAGGACCCCAACUCGUUUGUUUAGUGAUGUCUGAGUACUAUAUAAUAGUUAAAACUUUCAACGACGGAUCUCUUGGUUCUGGCAUCGAUGAAGAACGCAGCGAAAUGCGAUAAGUAAUGUGAAUUGCAGAAUUCAGUGAAUCAUCGAAUCUUUGAACGCACAUUGCGCCCCUUGGUAUUCCGAGGGGCAUGCCUGUUCGAGCGUCAUUAUGACCACUCAAGCCUAGCUUGGUAUUGGGGUUCGCGGUCUCGCGGCCCUUAAAAUCAGUGGCGGUGCCAUCUGGCUCUAAGCGUAGUAAUUUAUCUCGCUAUUGGGUCCGGUGGUUGCUUGCCAACAACCCCCAACUUCUAAGGUUGACCUCGGAUCAGGUAGGGAUACCCGCUGAACUUAAGCAUAUCAAUAAG